UAACCAAUCUAUAACAUGAUGCUAAUAUGCCUGAACAAAAGCAAGGGAUAUGCUCAACAUUGAAUAAAUGCAGAUUAUGCAAUUUCUUUAUUCUUUUUACUUUACUCUUUGUUCUUUGUUCUUUACACUUUGUUCUUUGCUCUUUAUUCUUUUAAUCUCAAAGCUAACCCGGGGGUUUCGCCACAUUAACUUGCUUCACAUUAAGUCCAUCAUCGCAGGAACUCACCAGCUAGGACCGUCCUUACGGGUCUACUCCAACCCGGAUGCAUAACUCCGGAGCGCAUCGCCCGAGGGGGAGCGACCACCCUCGAGCACGGAACUCUUAGCAAGUAUGAUCAUAUCCUUAACUCAAAGGAUUAUAAGUUCAAUCUUGACUUUACACUAGCUCUAGUGUUCAUUACAUCACAUUAUAUUGCAAACUCAUGCAAUCACAUUCUUUACAUUUCUUUUACUUUUGCUAACUCUAGCAAUUAUAUUCUUUAUUCCCCACAUUACUUUAACUUUCAACAUUGUCAUUUUCAUCAUUCUUUACGUUACAUUGGUUCUUUGCAUCACACUAACUCUAGUGUCUCUUUACUUUACAUUUUUUCAAAUGUCACUCGAUCUAUGUCAUUGUGCCACUCUGUUCUUUUGCUCACUUUGGGUGCUCACAUUCUCUCAUGCAUACAUCUAGGGUUUUGACAUUAUUAGGUUCUCAAC
rnacentral:lncRNA from 1 species